rnacentral:rRNA from 1 species
AACGAACGCUGGCGGCAGGCUUAACACAUGCAAGUCGAGCGCCCCGCAAGGGGAGCGGCAGACGGGUGAGUAACGCGUGGGAAUCUACCCAUCUCUACGGAACAACUCCGGGAAACUGGAGCUAAUACCGUAUACGUCCUUCGGGAGAAAGAUUUAUCGGAGAUGGAUGAGCCCGCGUUGGAUUAGCUAGUUGGUGGGGUAAUGGCCUACCAAGGCGACGAUCCAUAGCUGGUCUGAGAGGAUGAUCAGCCACACUGGGACUGAGACACGGCCCAGACUCCUACGGGAGGCAGCAGUGGGGAAUAUUGGACAAUGGGCGAAAGCCUGAUCCAGCCAUGCCGCGUGAGUGAUGAAGGCCCUAGGGUUGUAAAGCUCUUUCAACGGUGAGGAUAAUGACGGUAACCGUAGAAGAAGCCCCGGCUAACUUCGUGCCAGCCGCCGCCGUAACAC